AGACCCGAAACCCGGUGAUCUAGCCAUGGGCAGGUUGAAGGUUGGGUAACACUAACUGGAGGACCGAACCGACUAAUGUUGAAAAAUUAGCGGAUGACCUGUGGCUGGGGGUGAAAGGCCAAUCAAACCGGGAGAUAGCUGGUUCUCCCCGAAAGCUAUUUAGGUAGCGCCUCGUGAAUUCAUCUCCGGGGGUAGAGCACUGUUUCGGCUAGGGGGCCAUCCCGGCUUACCAACCCGAUGCAAACUGCGAAUACCGGAGAAUGUUAUCACGGGAGACACACGGCGGGUGCUAACGUCCGUCGUGAAGAGGGAAACAACCCAGACCGCCAGCUAAGGUCCCAAAGUCAUGGUUAAGUGGGAAACGAUGUGGGAAGGCCCAGACAGCCAGGAUGUUGGCUUAGAAGCAGCCAUCAUUUAAAGAAAGCGUAAUAGCUCACUGGUCGAGUCGGCCUGCGCGGAAGAUGUAACGGGGCUAAACCAUGCACCGAAGCUGCGGCAGCGAACGUAUCACCCAAGACAACUUUACGGAGUUGACGAUUGACGGAGCGAAGCGACGUCAAAGCGUUCAUUAAAGUCGAGUUGGCUUAGGGAUACGUUCGUUGGGUAGGGGAGCGUUCUGUAAGCCUGUGAAGGUGUGUCGUGAGGCAUGCUGGAGGUAUCAGAAGUGCGAAUGCUGACAUAAGUAACGAUAAAGCGGGUGAAAAGCCCGCUCGCCGGAAGACCAAGGGUUCCUGUCCAACGUUAAUCGGGGCAGGGUGAGUCGACCCCUAAGGCGAGGCCGAAAGGCGUAGUCGAUGGGAAACGGGUUAAUAUUCCCGUACUUGGUGUUACUGCGAAGGGGGGACGGAGAAGGCUAUGUUGGCCGGGCGACGGUUGUCCCGGUUUAAGCGUGUAGGUGUGUGUUCCAGGUAAAUCCGGUUCACUUUAACACUGAGGCGUGACGACGAGGCACUACGGUGCUGAAGCAACAAAUGCCCUGCUUCCAGGAAAAGCCUCUAAGCAUCAGGUAACAUCAAAUCGUACCCCAAACCGACA
rnacentral:rRNA from 1 species